AAACUAACAAGGAUUCCCCUAGUAACGGCGAGUGAAGCGGGAAGAGCUCAAAUUUGAAAUCUGGUGGCCUCAGGUCAUCCGAGUUGUAAUCUAUAGAAGUGUUUUCCGUGCUGGCUCAUGUACAAGUCCCUUGGAACAGGGCGUCAUAGAGGGUGAGAAUCCCGUCCUUGACAUGAACUACCAGUGCUCUGUGAUACAUUUUCAACGAGUCGAGUUGUUUGGGAAUGCAGCUCAAAAUGGGUGGUAAAUUCCAUCUAAAGCUAAAUAUUGGCGAGAGACCGAUAGCGAACAAGUACCGGUGAGGGAAAGAUGAAAAGCACUUUGGAAAGAGAGUUAAACAGUAUGUGAAAUUGUUGAAAGGGAAACGAUUGAAGUCAGUCGUGCUCUUUGGAUUCAGCCGGUUCUGCCGGUGUACUUCCUUUGAGUGGGGUCAACAUCAGUUUUGAUCGCUGGAUAAAGGCUGGAGGAACGUAGUACCCUCGGGUAAACUUAUAGCCUCCUGUCACAUACAGUGGUUGGGACUGAGGAACGCAGCACGCCUUUAUGGCCGGGAUUCGUCCACGUACGUGCUUAGGAUGUUGACAUAAUGGCUUUAAACGAC
rnacentral:rRNA from 1 species